UCAAUCUACGCUCGCAAAGAAUGGAAUAGAAUCAAAGAUCUAACAAGUAAAGAACACUAGAUUUCUUAACGAUGGUCUGAGAUUGCUCUCGUAAUCAGCAGAGUCUCAGGGAAGGAAGGCUCGUCCCAGAAUAUUGCACUACUAAAGCAAACGCGUGAAGGGCGAUUAUAGACAAGGAAAUACUACAUGUAAACCCAAAAUUGUGAACAGGUCACCGGAGCAUCAAGAGAUCGUGAAAUCACCGUUUCAUGCUUCGUCUUCUCCGUGACGAUUAACAGGAUUUCUGGCUAGGGCUUUUGGAAGUCAGAGUUUGUUUUCCGUCUUCCUUCAGAGGCAGGCUGUUACUUAUAUACUAAGUGGACAGUUCCCAAACAUCACACGUAUUCAUUUAUCUGCAAAAAAACACACAUAAACGGAACGAUCUAACAAUCUAACCAAGCCUAAUAACCCAUUUAGGUUAGAAUUGGUUGCAACCAGGAUUACCACCGUAUAUAGAUAGCCAUUGGAAGGAUUAAUCUACUUAUCAUAUAUGGUGCAAAAAAAAAGCAAAAUGCUUGGGGGAAGAAUUUCAACACAAUGUAAAGCUUUUUUAGAAGGUGGGAUCAUAUCCAUGGCUUCUGCAAGCCCUAGUGUGGAAAGAAUCAAUAAUGUUUUGAUAAAAAAAAGGCAAAAGUAGUACUAAUUCUCUCAAUGCCACGUAAAG
rnacentral:lncRNA from 1 species